rnacentral:rRNA from 1 species
UACGUAGGGUGCAGGCGUUAAUCGGAAUUACUGGGCGUAAAGCGUGCGCAGGCGGUUUCUUAAGUCAGAUGUGAAAGCCCCGGGCUUAACCUGGGAACUGCGUUUGAAACUGGGAGACUUGAGUGUGGCAGAGGGGGGUGGAAUUCCACGUGUAGCAGUGAAAUGCGUAGAUAUGUGGAGGAACACCGAUGGCGAAGGCGGCGACCUGGGUAGAUACUGACGCUGAGGUGCGAAAGCGUGGGGAGCAAACAGG